UUCUUUCUCUUUUUUUAUUUGAUGACUUCUCCUCUUCUUCUUGCUCUAUCUAUAUGCAAACACAACACAAAGUAAUCUUCCCAACACCAUAUUUUCUUCUUUGUCAUUUGCAACAACUAAUUUCCUCUUUUUUUCUUUGCUUUCGAUGCAACAUACUCAAAUUGAGAAGAGAAUGGUCUGUGCAAUUUUCUCAUACAAGGAAGAAAUUGAGAAGGAAUUGGUGUGAUUUUCUCAACCAAAGUAUAGACCGAGCCCAUCUUCCUAAUAAGAACAAAACACGUGGACCUCGCUAGCCAGGUGGCAAAAGCAGUCAUCCAGCCCUCUUAAAUACCAACCAUGCACAUCGGCUCGGUUCCCAACCUCACCACCUCGGGCUCAGUACCCUCCAGGAAAACAUAAUGAAAGGCUAUUCGUUAGCCACGUCGAUGACAAUACCUCCGCUGACAACAGAGGAUUCACCGCCUCUCGAAAUACUACCCUUGUCCUCUCCAAUAUCACAUAUAAAUCAUCUAAUCCGUUCCCUGACCAUAUAGGACUCAGGCGGCUCAUGGCAUACUACUCUACCCACUCCCGGCCCCUAGCAAAACGUGUAGAGCCAUUAUGAGAGGAGGACUUGGAAGGACCCCGACCAUCCACCACAUGACAGAACAGCCUGAUGUGACAUAAACGACUUGGCUCAGAGCCGAGGUGACCGGCCUAAAGAAUAUCUUGUGAAACUCCCUAUAAAUAGGGCUUGAAUUUGUGUAAAAAAUCCAUCUGACCUUUUCCUAAGUACAGAAUAAGAUAUGUCAAAUACAUAAAAGAUUACUCUUGUUCGUGUCGUUAUUCCAACAUAAGCAUCAGACCAUCAAGCAAUCAAAUCUCCUCUUCAUUUCAAGUACAAACACUUACAUUUCAUACGUUGACCACAUGAAGUUUGAGGUCUAGACAGAGAAGGUGGACAAGAUGAAGCAAUCGAGACAGAUAAAAAUGAACCAGAGAGGGAUUGGGAGGAAGACAAAAGGAGAUAGGUAACAUGAGGGUUAGAGGAAAGGAGAUAACUAGAUGGAAUUGGGGUGGGUUUUGCAGAGAAACAGUGAAAGAAAAGGUGGGGAAGAUUCGCUUUUUUUUUUCUUUUGCCAAAGGAAUGUGGGGGUUGAGGUUUUUUAUUUAUUUUAAAUAAAGUUCUCUAAGAAAAUUAUAGGGCUAACAACAAAACACACCCUUGAUGUUUGGGGUCAUUCUCAAUAUGGGCCAUCGGCUUUCAAUUUCAUCAAUUUACACUCAUUUCCCUAUUUUCUCGAUUUCCCUUUCUUUCUCUAUCUUUCUUCCCCCCAAUUGUGGGACUGAAUUGUUGUGAAACCCAUCAACCUAUUUGCCCAAAACCAGGAUCUCCUUCCUUCCUUGUGCCUUGUGAUUGAUUUGGUUCCCAUUGAAGAAGGUUGAAAAAGAAGAAUUUGAAGAAAAGGAGAAUUGCAUUUUUAUGUCAUGCGGACCCAUUUUCAUGGAUCACGUUCUUAUGGCCUUGCGUGGAACUAGGGAGGAGAGAGCGACCAGAAUUCGAAGCCUUUUCAAUUCCUUUGAUGCUACAAAUCUUGGAUACUUGGACCAUCUCCAAAUUGAGGCUGAGUUAUCGGCUCUUCAAAUUCUGCCAUAAUACAAGUAUGCCAAGGAUCUUAUGAAGGUUCAAUUAUCUAAAGUUUCGAAGGUACAUGAAUGCAAGGAACUUGAGAUGUAUCGGAUUUUUCAGGCCAUUGAUGGUGCAAUUGUGCAUCGACGAGAGGGGGUGAGGAACAUUGGGGAGGCGCUAGGCACAAAAGGGGCUAGGAUCUGGGUAGAUUUUUAUUUUAUUUUAUGUGAUUUUAUCAUUUUAUAUAAUUGAUUUAGUUUUUUUAUUUUAUAAAAUUGGUGGGUCCUACAAUAGAUACGUCAUCAGUUAACGUCUGAACAAACGGUCUACUUAACGGAAGGCUUAAAUUGAUCAUAUGUGAAAACCAUAGGGUGUAAAUUGAUGAAAUUGAAAGUCGAAGGCCCAUAUUAAGAAUGACCCCAAACAUCAAGGUGUGUUUUGUCGUUAGCCCAAAAUGAUAGUUUUUUUUUUCUACUACAUUACAAUGUUGUUCUAAUUUUUAAAUAUUUUUUUGUAGAGGAGCAAAA